rnacentral:rRNA from 1 species
ACGGGAGGCAGCAGUGGGGAAUAUUGCACAAUGGGGGAAACCCUGAUGCAGCGACGCCGCGUGAGUGAAGAAGUUAUUCGUAAUGUAAAGCUCUAUCAGCAGGGAAGAAAAUGACGGUACCUGACUAAGAAGCCCCGGCUAACUACGUGCCAGCAGCCGCGGUAAUACGUAGGGGGCAAGCGUUAUCCGGAUUUACUGGGUGUAAAGGGAGCGUAGACGGCAAGACAAGUCUGGAGUGAAAUUCCGGGGCUCAACCCCGGAACUGCUUUGGAAACUGUUUAGCUGGAGUAUCGGAGAGGUAAGCGGAAUUCCUAGUGUAGCGGUGAAAUGCGUAGAUAUUAGGAGGAACACCAGUGGCGAAGGCGGCUUACUGGACGAUAACUGACGUUGAGGCUCGAAAGCGUGGGGAGCAAACAGGAUUAGAUACCCUGGUA